rnacentral:rRNA from 1 species
GAUGAACGCUGGCGGCGUGCCUAAUACAUGCAAGUCGAGCGAACGGACGAGAAGCUUGCUUCUCUGAUGUUAGCGGCGGACGGGUGAGUAACACGUGGAUAACCUACCUAUAAGACUGGGAUAACUUCGGGAAACCGGAGCUAAUACCGGAUAAUAUUUUGAACCGCAUGGUUCAAAAGUGAAAGACGGUCUUGCUGUCACUUAUAGAUGGAUCCGCGCUGCAUUAGCUAGUUGGUAAGGUAACGGCUUACCAAGGCAACGAUGCAUAGCCGACCUGAGAGGGUGAUCGGCCACACUGGAACUGAGACACGGUCCAGACGCCUACGGGAGGCAGCAGUAGGGAAUCUUCCGCAAUGGGCGAAAGCCUGACGGAGCAACGCCGCGUGAGUGAUGAAGGUCUUCGGAUCGUAAAACUCUGUUAUUAGGGAAGAACAUAUGUGUAAGUAACUGUGCACAUCUCGACGGUACCUAAUCAGAAAGCCACGGCUAACUACGU